UACGGAGGGUGCUAGCGUUGUUCGGAAUCACUGGGCGUAAAGGGCGUGUAGGCGGCCUGCUAAGUCUGAUGUGAAAUCCCCUCGCUCAACGAGGGAACUGCGUCGGAUACUGGCAGACUCGAGUACCGGAGAGGAAGGUGGAAUUCCUGGUGUAGCGGUGAAAUGCGUAGAUAUCAGGAGGAAUACCGGUGGCGAAGGCGGCCUUCUGGACGGUGACUGACGCUGAGACGCGAAAGCGUGGGGAGCAAACAGG
rnacentral:rRNA from 1 species